rnacentral:piRNA from 1 species
GUUGUCACUUGUUAUAUCCCCAAAGUAC